AAACCCGAGCUAAUACCGCAUACGACCUAAAGGUGAAAGCGGGGGAUUUUCGAACCUCGCGCUAUUAGAGGAGCCUGCGUUGGAUUAGCUUGUUGGUGGGGUAACGGCCUACCAAGGCGACGAUCCAUAGCUGGUCUGAGAGGAUGAUCAGCCACACUGGAACUGAGACACGGUCCAGACUUCUACGGAAGGCAGCAGUAAAGAACAUUGCGCACAGGGCGAAAGCCUGACCCACC
rnacentral:rRNA from 1 species